AAACAUAGGCAGAAUGGUAAACAAAGAAGGCAUAGAGAAAGAAACAGAGAAAGAGGCAAAGUUCCUAAGGCCGUCCAUUGUGCAUCACAAUCAAAAGAUUCAUCUCGCAAUGAAGUACAAAACUUUGAAGCAGAUAUCAGUGAAUGUGGGAUGCAGUUAACAUAGCAAACAACCAUGAUUUGAUCAAUAUUUCUAUGAUUUCAGUUGACUAAUAGGUUUGUUUAAGAAGUUGGUCUGAUUGCUAUGGGGAGUUAUUGAUGAUCUUAGCCCUCUUGGGUUUGUGAGAAAGGAGGAAACUUUCUGUAUUUUUGGGGUACAAAAGGGUUCUGUUUAUGGAGUGGGCAGCAACAGAAACUUACCAAAAAAAAUGCCCCCUUUUGUAAAAUAUGUUACUAUCUAAUUUUAUAAAGAACAUUUUCCUACCAUUGAGUUGGCUUAUCUGAUUUGGAGUAUAUGUAGUUUUUUUUUAAUC